AACGAACGCUGGCGGCAGGCCUAACACAUGCAAGUCGAGCGGAUGACGGGAGCUUGCUCCUGGAUUCAGCGGCGGACGGGUGAGUAAUGCCUAGGAAUCUGCCUGGUAGUGGGGGACAACGUUUCGAAAGGAACGCUAAUACCGCAUACGUCCUACGGGAGAAAGCAGGGGACCUUCGGGUCUUGCGCUAUCAGAUGAGCCUAGGUCGGAUUAGCUUGUUGGUGAGGUAAUGGCUCACCAAGGCGACGAUCCGUAACUGGUCUGAGAGGAUGAUCAGUCAAACUGGAACUGAGACACGGUCCAGACUCCUACGGGAGGCAGCAGUGGGGAAUAUUGGACAAUGGGCGAAAGCCUGAUCCAGCCAUGCCGCGUGUGUGAAGAAGGUCUUCGGAUUGUAAAGCACUUUAAGUUGGGAGGAAGGGUUGUAGAUUAAUACUCUGCAAUUUUGACGUUACCGACAGAAUAAGCACCGGCUAACUCUGUGCCAGCCGCCGCGGUAAGAC
rnacentral:rRNA from 1 species